rnacentral:tRNA from 1 species
GCAUCAAUGGGGUAGUGGUAACCUGGGUCGUUGCCAUGUGGUGAGCGUCAAAGUCAUAUCGACCCGCCGGGGGUUCAAUUCCCCCUUGAUGCA